GGGCCCGCACAAGCGGAGGAACAUGUGGUUUAAUUCGAUGAUACGCGAGGAACCUUACCCGGGCUCGAACGGCUAUAGAAUAACGAUGAAAGUUGUUAGCCAGCAAUGGCUGUAGUCGAGGUGCUGCAUGGUUGUCGUCAGCUCGUGCCGUGAGGUGUCGGCUUAAGUGCCAUAACGAGCGCAACCCUUGUUGAUAGUUGCCAGCGGGUAAAGCCGGGGACUCUAUUGAGACUGCCGCCGUAAGGUGGAGGAAGGUGGGGAUGACGUCAAAUCAGCACGGCCCUUACGUCCGGGGCGACACACGUGUUACAAUGGUAGGUACAGAGGGCAGGCUAUUACGAGAGUAAAUGCGAAUCUCAAAAACCUAUCUCAGUUCGGAUUGGAGUCUGCAACUCGACUCCAUGAAGCUGGAUUCGCUAGUAAUCGCGCAUCAGCCCAUGGCGCGGUGAAUACG
rnacentral:rRNA from 1 species